UACGUAGGGGGCAAGCGUUGUCCGGAAUCAUUGGGCGUAAAGAGCGUGUAGGCGGCCUGGUAAGUCCGCUGUGAAAGUCGAGGGCUCAACCCUCGAAUGCCGCAGGAAACUGUCUGGCUAGAGUCCGGAAGGGGCGAGUGGAAUUCCAGGUGUAGCGGUGAAAUGCGUAGAUAUCUGGAGGAACACCGGUGGCGAAGGCGGCAUCCUGGACCGAGAUCGACGCUGAGGCGCGAAAGCUAGGGGAGCAAACGGG
rnacentral:rRNA from 1 species